rnacentral:rRNA from 1 species
GAUGAACGCUAGCUACAGGCUUAACACAUGCAAGUCGAGGGGAAACGACAUCGAAAGCUUGCUUUUGAUGGGCGUCGACCGGCGCACGGGUGAGUAACGCGUAUCCAACCUGCCCGUCACUUGGGAAUAACCUUGCGAAAGUAAGACUAAUGCCCAAUGACAUUUAUAGAAGGCAUCUGAAAUGAAUUAAAGAUUUAUCGGUGAUGGAUGGGGAUGCGUCUGAUUAGCUUGUUGGCGGGGUAACGGCCCACCAAGGCGACGAUCAGUAGGGGUUCUGAGAGGAAGGUCCCCCCACAUUGGAACUGAGACACGGUCCAAACUCCUACGGGAGGCAGCAGUGAGGAAUAUUGGUCAAUGGGCGAGAGCCUGAACCAGCCAAGUAGCGUGCAGGAUGACGGCCCUAUGGGUUGUAAACUGCUUUUAUACGGGGAUAAAGUGGGUCACGUGUGGCUUAUUGCAGGUACCGUAUGAAUAAGGACCGGCUAAUUCCGUG